ensembl:lncRNA
ACAUACAUACAUGUUACAUACAUACAGGUUACAUACAUACAGGUUACAUACAUACAGGUUACAUACAUACAUGUUACAUACUUACAGGUUACAUACAUACAGGUUACAUACAGGUUACAUACAUACAGGUCACAUACAUACAGGUCACAUACAUACAGGUUACAUACAUACAGGUUACAUACAGGUUACAUACAUACAGGUUACAUACAUACAGGUUACAUACAGGUUACAUACAUACAGGUUACAUACAGGUUACAUACAUACAGGUUACAUACAGGUUACAUACAUACAGGUUACAUACAUACAGGUUACAUACAGGUUACAUACAGGUUACAUACAUACAUGUUACAUACAUACAGGUUACAUGCAUACAGGUUACAUACAUACAGGUUACAUACAUACAGGUUACAUACAGGUUACAUACAUACAGGUUACAUACAGGUUACAUACAUACA